rnacentral:rRNA from 1 species
UUCCGGUUGAUCCCGCCGGACCUGACUGCUAUCGGAUUGAUACUAAGCCAUGCGAGUCUUUGUAGUAAUACAAGGCAGACGGCUCAGUAACACGUAGUCAAUCUACCCUAUGGACAGGGAUAACCUCGGGAAACUGAGAAUAAUACCUGAUAGAUCAUUAUGCCUGGAAUGGUUUAUGGUCGAAAUGAUUUAUCGCCGUAGGAUGGGACUGCGGUCUAUCAGCUUGUUGGUGAGGUAAUGGCCCACCAAGGCUAUAACAGAUACGGGCUCUGAGAGGAGAAGCCCGGAGAUGGGUACUGUGACACGGACCAGGCCCUAUGGGGCGCAGCAGGCGAGAAAACUUUGCAAUGUGCGAAAGCACGACAAGGUUAAUCCGAGUGUUUUCCGCUAAAGAAAUCUUUUGUCAGUCCUAAAAACACUGAUGAAUAAGGGGUGGGCAAGUUCUGGUGUCAGCCGCCGCGGUAAAACCAGCACCUCAAGUGGUCAGGAGGAUUAUUGGGCCUAAAGCAUCCGUAGCCGGCUCUGUAAGUUUUCGGUUAAAUCUAUACGCUCAACGUAUAGGCUGCCGGGAAUACUGCAAAGCUAGGGAGUGGGAGAGGUAGACGGUACUCGGUAGGAAGGGGUAAAAUCCUUUGAUCUAUUGAUGACCACCUGUGGCGAAGGCGGUCUACUAGAACACGUCCGACGGUGAGGGAUGAAAGCUGGGGGAGCAAACCGGAUUAGAUACCCGGGUAGUCCCAGCUGUAAACUAUGCAAACUCAGUGAUGCACUGGCUUGUGGCCAGUGCAGUGCCGCAGGGAAGCCGUUAAGUUUGCCGCCUGGGAAGUACGUACGCAAGUAUGAAACUUAAAGGAAUUGGCGGGGGAGCACCACAAGGGGUGAAGCCUGCGGUUCAAUUGAGUCACGCGGG